CCCGUAGCGCAGGUGGACAGCGCGGCGGCCUUCUAAGCCGCAGGUCCCGGGUUCGAGUCCCGGCGGGGCCGCCA
rnacentral:tRNA from 1 species